UGGGCCUUUCUUCUGUAUUUCCUGAUAACCCCCUGCAGAUAUAGACAAACACCAAAACUCGUGGAAUUCUGUCAGAUAAAACCCUAAGUCUAGGUGUUAGUUGCAUUUGGAUCUUUUUCCAUGAUUAGUUGAUGGUUAAAUGUGAGCAUUAAGGACCGUCAACAAGCUCCCCCAAGCUUAACCUUUGCUCGUCCCUGAGCAAAGAUGAACUCAAUAGUUUCUGCAGUGGUUUCAUUCCUUAAAGAUAUACAUGCAUUCAAACAAGAUCUCAUCUCUGGGUUAGGGUAAACUGUUAAGAUUUAAACUUACUCAUUUUACCUUCCACCAUGGGGCUUGCAACCGUCACUUGUGUCUUGAGUAGUUAAAGAUAGAACGGUCAAGUCAAGCGCCAUGUCUCUUGUUCUUCGAUUAACUAUAGCUCUAGAGUUUUUGCAGAUUUUCAAAUAAAACUCAGAGAUUCAUUGUAUGACUCUCUCUAGUCUCUCUUUUGUGGUAUUUCUAGAUCCUUACCAAGACAGUAACGGUGUAUGCCUUCUCUCAAAGUAUGUGGUAUUUUUGGUAUGAGGCAUAGUGACAUUGCCUUCUCUCUCACCCUACUUUAUUGCAUAGUCAAACCAUGGAUCUAGAAGAUCAAGUCAAUACGUCAAAUCAAGAUAUGCAUGUGUGGCGAAUGAAUGGUGAUAAUGGUGAAAAUAAUGGUGAAAGUCUAAUUCUACUUUUGCUCUUUUGAGGGGGUACAUACCUUUCUUGCUCUUUUGAAACUUUUUGAGGAGAAUGAGAUGCUCUAUAUUUUCUUUUUCUUUUCUCUCAGGCGGGUAUCUUGUACCCCUAAUUCUACUGUCAGACACUUGUCCAUUUUUACCUCUCGUCUCAGUUUUUUUUUCUUUCGAGGUUUCGUGCACUUUCCCCUUUUUAUUUCCUCGUAUUUUUUUUAGAACACUCAUCUCUUGAAAUAAUAUAGCAAGUGGUAGUAACCAAGAUAACUUGAGCAUUUAUUUCACAGGGGAAAACAGAAAUAUUUUUGGCUAUUCUCUCCCGGAUUAGGAGUAGAAUAUUUUUAGGUGAUUCUGGAGAUGGAAAUGGGUGGAUAUAUGUGGAUGUGUACUUCCGGAGUAGAAGCAGCAUGUAUGAGUGAACGUGCAAGUGAAUCUUGAUUUAACCACAUGACAAGCUCCUAAGGGUCUACACAGCUUGACCACACUCAAUGCUCAUAAGCAGUAAAAGGUAAAUGUGUGGCUCAAAGUCUAGCAAGCAUGUAUAUAUGGCUGUGAUAGGAAUUUAAACUCUCAUCAUACAGGAACUCAACAUGUGUUAUUUUAAAGAUUUUUCAAAGAUAAAAUUCUCCAGAAUUCUAGCAUCUCUAGGAACAGAUAAACAACAGCUCAACCUUCCCAUAUCAUAUCCGUUAACGACUUAGACAUUAGAUCAUGUACUCUUCCCACAAGUUCAGGUUUAGAGCAAAUCUUAAUUAAUAACAGUCAUGCCUAAACUUGAGAGAGAUUUCAAUUUUAAGAACUAGUUAUGGCAGAGCAACUAUUCAUCAUUUCCAUGUGAGAGCUUAUCCUGAGGGUUCAUAGCAAACUUUAUUUAUUUAUUUAUUUAGCAAACUAAGCAAAGAUAUAUAUAUAUAUAAGCACAAAAUCUUUAUUUGGGUUUUUAUGAUUAUGCAUCUUUUCAUUAUUUGAGUAAAGUAUAAACGUGAGUGGAAUACUUAGCUGGAUAAAUGGGGUUGCUCUCCCCCAAGCUGGGUUUUGACGUAAUUCCUUCUGAUGUAGCUAGCAGGUGGUGGAGGUCUAUUUGAAUAUUGGCAGUACCCUGAUAGUGAUUAGGAUGUUCUCCGUCUGCUAGUCUUCUUUGAUCCUUGAAUUCUGUGGAGCUCAAAUAGACAACAAAGCUUUGUGGAACUAGUUAAGUGUUAGCAUAAAUAUCUAGCCUUUAUCAUGUUGAGCCUCCUCAAUAAAUAUUACUUUCUUUGGUAGGAUCAUAAAUUUAUUUUUAUAUUUUCAUUUUUAUAGGACAGGAAUAUAUUUAUUUUAUUUUUACGCCACCACAGUGAAUGUACUUAUGGGUUUUAUGCCAUGAGCAUACUCUCAUGGGGCUUACUAUUUUUAACAUUUUUAUUUUCUUUUCAUGAUGAUAUGAACCUGAUUAACUCAGCAAACUAUUUUAAAAUAAUUGAAAGGAAAAAGAUAAUUACCAAGUUUACCUCUUGGCAAGGCGUUCGGUGUUUUUAAGUCAUCCGAACGGGACUCUCCGUUUUCUCAGUCGUCCUGGGAUUCGCUGGAUGGCGUAGUCGAUGGUUCCGGCAGAGCCUGCUCUUCGUGUAUAACUAUCUUCUCUCUCCACACCUGACUCGGUGCUACGGUCUCCUUAGGAUAGUUCUGUUCAAGCUGUAUGUCUUCAGACAUUACCACUUCUCCUUCGUAGUCCGCCCAUCCAUCCUUGAUGAUUUGCCUUCUCUGGUUGCGGUUGUGUCGUCUUCUUCUUGUUCUGACAUGCUUAGAGUCUUCAACUAUAUAGUUAGGGUCAGUAAAGCAGCGACGUACCUUCUCAGAGGUGAAGUGCAUGUGGACUUCUCUAGUUCCAAUGUAGAUGAUUGCUUUAACGGUGCUGAGAAACGGUCUUCCAAGGAUGAUGGGUGGAUUGUACUCGUCUUCUCCCAUGUCAAUAACCUUCAACCUUUCGGAAUGUCUGAUCUGCCAUCUGGAGCUGAAUGUAUGUCGGUUUUAGUCAGGAACGGUGACUUAAAUCAAUGAUCUUGACCUCCUUGAACUGCAGUGACCAUCUUAGCUAACUCGGUCCACAUUUGCUUGUUCCUGUUCCUCCUGUUGGUCCAUUCCGUGGUUCAUGUCAGGAUUCCUCUAUGAUUUGUGUAGUCUUGUUCUUGAAGGAAAACGUCUCCUUCCUCCCCUUGAUGUAGAAAUGGAUUUUAGCAGCACUAGCGUAGAUGACAGCUCCUGAGGUGUUCAGGAAUGGUCUCCCUAGGAUGAUGGAUGCCAUCUCAUCAGUACCAGUCUCUAUCACCACGAAGUCUGCUGGGGCUUACAAGGUACCAACUCGGACGUAGAGGUUCUUCAAUAUUCCCUUUGAGAAACUUAGCGUACGAUCUACAGGCUGCAAACACAUGGCUAUUUCUAAUAAAGGACGUGUAAAGAAUUUUUCAUAGAGUACCCUGGGCAUAAUGUUGACGUUGGAGCCAAAGUCGCAGAGUGCUUCUGGGAAGUCCACCAUUGACGAUGGAGAUCGGGAUGACGGGGCGUCCUGGAUUGUCUCUCUUGACCGGCAGAAGGUCAGUAAUUACUUCCACAAUGGGGUUACUCCAGUAGUUACGUCCUCAAGCAUCUCAGGGCAGUGAUUGCUUGAGUGUCCAGUAUCUCCAGUGUGUUUGUGCUCGUAGAUCUAGGUUCUUCACUUGGUGGAGUCUGGGAGUUUGUAAAAGUCCUUCAUAUUUUGCUCGAAGUGUACCUGCUCAUAGAGAUAAGGCAGAGAUCAAGUGCAUGGGCCCUGUUGGUGGAAAACACCAACAGAACCAAAAGUGUAUUUGUUCUCUCUAACCUUAAGCAUAGUGAGCAAGACAAAGUUGAUGGAUAAUAAGAUCAUGAGUGUAACAUUUAAAACAUUUGUCAGAUCAGAUCGCUCAACCUAAUGGAAAGAUAAUCUAUCUAUAUUUAUGUUUUGUUUAUAUCUUCCAAAGAUUGAAUGUGCAACUUUUUCGCUUAUAUGAUUAGGAGUGUGGAAUCACAAAGGUGGAAGGACUAAACAUGUUGAAUCGAUUCGGUUGGUUAAUCUAGAGUUAUAAAUCAUACAUGUUUGUCUCUUUUAUUCAUGUGAACGCCAGAACAAAGGAGAAGCUUAUAAAAGUGAUAGUCAAGUAUCUUAAGAUGUUACCUUACUUGAAGAGUGAUGAUACAGUAUCACCUUGCGGAAGCUUUCCUUUCUUAGCGGUUAUGCAUCGUGUUUGUGGCACCCUCCAUGGAUCAUCUCUUGUGAGCUAUGCCUUCCUUGUGUAAAUUGUUAAACUUCAUGUGUCUCUCUCUUUGUCUCCAAUGUGAGUUUAUCUCAGGACUUCCUAGGUCGAUAUUGAAAGUUUUCCUGCAGGGGUUAGUCCAACAAAACAUCCAAUAUCUACUAUAGCAUACUAUCGGCUCAAAAUCAACCUAGACACCAUGUCUAAUUUGAUUUAGGAGGGCAUUUUAACCUAAGCAUCAUGCUUAAUUUAAAAUCCUUUGGAAGUAAGAUCAUCAUUCCUAAACUAAGCACCAUGCUUAAUUAAGAGAUAAAUGAAACUAAUCCAAACCUAGACAUAUACUAAAGCAAAUAAAGGUAGCAUGAGAGCAUUUAUAGAGAUCUACUCAAGUGGAGAUGAAGUAGUGUGAUUAGUAUUUAACAAGUUGAGCAUGUCUCAAAGGUAGGGACAACCAACAUAGCAACAUGGCAAAGAAUGUUUUUAUGUAAAGUACUCCCCCAAGCUUGAAUUUUGCAAAAUUCAAGUUUGGGUGAAUUUAAUUCAAUGUUGUAUGAUGAUUGGUUGGACAUACCUUGUGCUUGUCAUUCAUCCAAUCUUCUUGCUCCAAUCCUGGAAAGGUUAGUGACAAGAAUACCCGAAGGAUUUUUUUUACAAUUAUCCUUAUAUGCUCAAUACACAGGGUAAUGUUGCAAAUAAUUAAAAGCUCAUGUUACGAUCUGAUCAGUGCUUGUUUUAGGACACUAAGCUUGUCCUUAGGAAACCAUCAAUUUAUGUCGGCGAAGUGGUUUCCCCUCCAACGCUGACCUAUAUAGAGAUCAACUCAACGAGAUCUACAAUAUUUAAUAUAGACAUAUGCAUCGACAACUGCCCUUUUAAAGUUUUCAUAAAUAGAAAGGAUGAGGGGGUUGGAGAUCUCGAUUGUGGUGAUGUUGGAGAGACCAAAAGAUUGGGAAGAUGUUGCAUAUGAGCAUGGAGUAAAUGAAGUGGCUAUGAAAUAAAUUCCAUGCUCAUUAAUGCUUGGAGUGAAAUCCAUGUGGUGUGGUGAAAAUGGUAAGGUGAGUGUGGUAAAAAAGGAAAAGAAAAAGGAUACACAGACGACUUGGUUCGAAACUAGCACACCUACCGUUCCCCGGCAACGGCGCUAGAAAGCUUGUUGGGUAUUCCAAUGUAGCCUUCACCCGGGAGUAUUCCAGAGUAUCGAUUUUCCACAGGGAACGUGAGUGUACUAAAUAAGCACAAAUUGGAACUGGUAUGAGCGACCUCUGUCAAACCCUCAAAUUUUCACAAAUAUUUAGCCUUAGACAUAGUAGUUUUUAUGAAAGUAGUCAAGUGAAAGCACCAAGGAGCAUCGUGUGGCCAUAAAGCUAGGGGUUUAAAUCAAAAUGAGCUUUGAAUGCUCCCCCUAUCUAUGGACGAACACAGUGGAUGCUCAAAGCACAACUAGAAAGAAACGAUCAACCAACAAGCAUGCAUAUGAUAUGAGGUGCAAUGCAAUACUUGAAAGUAAACUAAUGCUUGUCAAGUUUGAUCCAAGGUUAAGCUUUUUCACACACACAAGGGGGUUAUCUUAACCAUGUUAGACAAGCCCUACAUACAAUCUUUUUGUAUUUUUAGUUUGGGUAUGCAUGAUAUGCAAAACAAGAGCUAUUUACAAGGUCAACACACAACUUCAUUUUUUAGUGAAGUUAGAGAGAUCAAGCACAUUAAGUUCAUUUCUCAACAUACAAAACCUAGCUUCAUCUAUAGGUUUUGUGAAGAUAUCUGGCAAUUGAUUCUCCAUUCCCACAUUCUCUAGGGAUAUAUCACCUUUAGCAACAUGAUCCCUAAGGAAGUGAUGGCGGAUGUCAAUGUGUUUUGUGUGGGUGUGUUGAACCGGGUUGUUUGCAAGUUUUACGGCACUUUCAUUGUCACACAACAAAGGUACUUUGUCUAGUACUACUUCAUAGUCUAGCAAAGUUUGUUUCAUAUAAAGUAUUUGUGCACAACAAGCACCCGUGCCAAUGUAUUCCGCCUCGGCCGUUGACAAGGCAACAUAAUUUUGUUUCUUUGACAUCCAAGAGACAAGAGAUCUACCUAGGAAGUGGCACCCUCCGGAUGUGCUUUUUCUAUCAAUGCGUCACCCGGCAUAAUCCGAAUCCGAAUAGCCUACAAGUUGGAAUCUUGCACCUUUGGGAUACCACAAGCCUAGGCAAGGUGUGUAUUUUAGGUACCUAAGAAUUCUCUUGACGGAAAUCAAGUGAGGUUCCAUAGGCAUAGCUUGAUAUCUAGCACACAUACACACACUAAACAUGAUAUCGGGCCUAAAUGCGGUGAGGUAGAGUAGACUUCCUAUCAUGGAACGAUAGAGAGUCUUGUCAAUUGGGUUACCUCCGUCAUCCAAGUCAAGAUGCCCAUUUGAUGCCUAUUGGGUAUUUUAUACACAAACAGAAAAAUCCGCAAGCGCACGGAUACCGAUGUAGCCUUCACCCGGGAGUAUUCCAGAGUAUCGAUUUUCCACAGGGAAUGUGAGUGUACUAAUUAAGAUCCAAGAUCGCCCAAGGAUAACUAUAUAAUUAUUUUUGGUGGGAAGAGAGGAAGUUUCCUGAGAGUUCUCUAGUUGAUCUAAGAAUCAAGAAUUACUUCAAGGUUAUCUAUAUCGGAACAUGAGAGCACUAACCACAGAAAGAGAUGAGAAGGGGGCUAGGAAGGUCUGACUAUGGUCCUACAAACACCGAUCCGAACGAGGUGGAAUAUGUCGACCGUUAGGGCUGUCACUACCCUACGGCUACCACAACAAUCCGCAGGAUUGGGUGCAAUUCCAGGUAAUUGCAAGACUAAACACCACGUCUAAUCUAUUAAUUACUACUCUAGCGUUAUAAAGACUAGAGCACUUGAUGCAAGCGGGAAUCCAAUAAAUAACUUGAAUGUAAAUAAAAGUAAUUAGAGAACUCAGGAAUUAUGAAUUGAAGAACCUGGAGAACGAUGAAGAACGAACCAGUUGCUGCAAAAGUACAAUGUUGAGGAAGAUCCGACAGAUCCGGCUCCUCCUCCGCUCUCCUCUUCUCUCUCCCUAUUUUCUAGAUUACAAGUAGAACUAACUAGAACUAGAACUAGAGGAACUAGAACUAGAACUAGAUGAACUAGAACUAGAUCUAGAUGAACUAGAGGUAGAACUAGAAGAACUAGAGGGAUCCUCUCUACUUGGAUGAAGAAUUGAAACCCUAACUUUGAUUCUGUAGAAGAGGUAUGAUCUCCAGGGGCCAGGGGGCCUUGCUUAUAUAGUCUUUUCAAAUGAAUCUGGGUCGUCGGAUCAAACCGACAUUAAUCGCACGGUUUUCCUUGGUCCUUUAGGUCGGUGGAGCGUGAUCCCCGAAUUGGACUCUGUUUGAGCACUGUAGCAGGGCGGGCGCCCUCAGGACUUGGGCGGGUGUGGGGGCAUAAACCCCUAUACCCUUACAGCUAGACUUGGGCCAGGAGGCUUGGCCCAUUAUGAGACAAGUUCGAGGUCUUGAUCCGACUGCUCAAGGAAACAAGACGUGGAAAUCAAGCAGGAUUCUAGUCGGUUAGAAUAGAAAUUGAUAUCGAACUAUCUAUGGCAAUUGUAACCGACUAGGAUUAGUUUCCAGAUCUGUAACCCUGCCCCCCGGACUAUAUAAGGAGGGGCAAGGGACCCCCCUAGGAUAUAUCAUAUUCUCUCAACACAAAUCAAUACAACCAGACGCAGGACGUAGGUAUUACGCCAACUCGGCGGCCGAACCUGGAUAAAAAGCUUGUCCGUGUCUUGUGUCACCAUCGAGUUCAUAGUUUGCGCACCGUCUACCGAUAAACUACUACCGUGGGUAUACCCCAAGGUAGACUGCCGACCAGCUUUCGUCGACAGUGGCGCGCCAUGUUGGGGGUGUGCGUACAGCUCUCCCGACGAACAAGAUGGCCAUCAUCCCCGACUUCGCGGCCAUGGCGGGCGGCUUCGCGUUCACCGUCAGCUUCAACAACUUCACCACCACGACCGCGAAGGAGGCGUAGAUCCAAUCUGUGCCGAUCACUUCUUCACCGACGUCGGCUGCAGCUCCAACCACGCUGGCUACGGCUUCGACCACACCAGCAACGUCUCCGACCACGCCGACAACGCGUCGCACGUUUCCCUGCUACAAAGGGAGGCAGAUCGACAACACCGACCUGCUGGGGCCAUCGACCAAAUUGUUUGGCCUACUUGCUCUAACCACCAGUCGCAAUAAUAAUCGCCGCGAAGAACGGCGCUAUGACAACAGCGACCACCGUCAUGAUAAGUCGAAAAGCUCGAGGGCCGGACAAUUUUGUCAUCACCGACUAGACUUCCAUCCAAAGAUAAGUGCACUUCUAAUAUUUUAUUUAUUUUUGGUAUAAUAUUUUUUAUUAUCCUUCAAAACAACUUUUUGGUUAGCCGACUAGUUUUUUCUCCUACACGAGUUUUUCAGAGCCGGUACUGUCUCCGACUCCUCCCUACACGUGCAUGAGAUCCGCCCUCUGCGUUCCGGGUGGUCGGCAGUAGCUCUCUGGCGAGGCUGGCAAUUCCACGCAUGUCUAGGUUCCGCACCUCAUGCUGAUUGUUGGCUAGACCAGAGCUGGUACAAGCUCUAGGAUGAAUUAACUACUCGUGCUAAUUUUAUAACAAAAAAUCUAAAACUUAUCUCAGUACUAAUUUUUUAUCUAAAGUUUAUUUAUACAUCAUGUACUACUUUAUAUUUUUCAGGAGUUUGGCCCAGUCGACAAGCCACGCUCGUGGACUCGUCGACUAUUUCCUACGCUGUGCCCGGGGAUUGCUCCGACCACCGAGCACGUUUACGUUCCCAACCACGCUCGGGGACUUGUCGACUACUCUCUAUGCUGUGCUCGAAGACUGUGCCGACCACCGAGCACGUUUACGUUCCCAACCACGCUCGGGGACUUGUCCACCGGUCCCUACGCCGUGCUCGGGGACUGUGCCGACCACCGAGCACUAUACGCUCGGGGACUGGUCGACCAGCUCACCAAUUUGAGAGUUUGGGGACUGCACCGACCACCGAGCACUAUACGCUCGGGGACUGGUCGACCAGCCCACCAAUUUGAGAGUUUGGGGACUGCACCGACCACCGAGCACUAUACGCUCGGGGACUGGUCGACCAGCCCACCAAUUUGAGAAUUCGGGGACUGUACCGACCACCGAGCGUUAUAUGCUCGGGGACUGGUCGAUUAGUCUAUUCAAUUGCAGACGAGCAUGAUAUUCUCGGGGACUGGUAAAUUCAAUUUUUUAGACCUUGCUACAAGGCUCAUACUUCGCCUUCCAGCAAGCUCGGGGACUACAUCGGUAUGAUGCAUCUGGCGAUGCAUCUCAGUUUUAGAAUUUCUAUGAUUUUCUUUUUAGACCCUGGGACAACGUGCCUACGUCACCUACUACCAGGCUCGGGGACUAAGUGGGCACACUUCACCUUGCGGUGAAUAUGCUUGCUUUUUUGAGGUUUAUACUUUUUAGAAAAGUAAAGUGGGCACACUUCACCAGGAAAGAAAUAUUUUUUUCUCAAGAGCACCAUGCAUUCUUCGAACAACCUGCUCCUUCGACGACGAUGUUGAUCAACUAUCUUUUGGGUUGGUCAAAAUACUGUUGCAACUGUUCGGGCGGCUCUCAUGCUAAUCGGAGAUGUCAAGCUUUGCUGAUCGAAGAAGCUUAAGACGACGUGUUACAUCACAAUACACGGUGCUCGGGGACUAGCUGUGGGGGUAUAAACCCCUAUACCCUUACGGCUAGACUUGGGCCAGGAGGCUUGGCCCAUUACGAGACAAGUUCGAGGUCUUGAUCCGACUGCUCAAGGAAACAAGACGUGGAAAUCAAGCAGGAUUCUAGUCGGUUAGAAUAGAAAUUGAUAUCGAACUAUCUAUGGCAAUUGUAACCGACUAGGAUUAGUUUCCAGAUCUGUAACCCUGCCCCUCGGACUAUAUAAGGAGGGGCAAGGGACCCCCCUAGGAUAUAUCAUAUUCUCUCAACACAAAUCAAUACAACCAGACGCAGGACGUAGGUAUUACGCCAACUCAGCGGCCGAACCUGGAUAAAAAGCUUGUCCGUGUCUUGUGUCACCAUCGAGUUCGUUGUUUGCGCACCGUCUACCGAUAAACUACUACCGUGGGUAUACCCCAAGGUAGACUGCCGACCAGCUUUCGUCGACAGCGGGCGCCCUGUCCCUGAGUACUCUCAGCUUCCGCUUUGUUUCCGUGGCUUCUGGAGUCUUCUAGAUGAUAGAAAAUUACGUGGCAUGUUAAUAUCUCUAUGUAAACCCGACAUGUGGGCCUUUCUUUCGUAUUUCCUGAUAACCCCAUGCAGAAAUAGACAAAUACCAAAACUCGUGGAAUUCUGUCAGAUAAAACCCUAAGUCUAGGUGUUAGUUGCAUUUGGAUCCUUUUCCAUGAUUAGUUGAUGGUUAAAUGUGAGCAUUAAGGACCGUCAACAAUGCCAUGGGAGUCUUGAUUGGCUUGAAAUCCAUCAUCUUGAACCUCUUGAGAAGAUCUUGUGUGUACUUCUCUUGAGAGAUGAAGACCCCUUCCUUCAUUUGCUUGACUUGAAAUCCUAGGAAGAAGGAUAGAUCGCCAAUCAUGGACAUCUCAAACUCCUUGGACAUCAAAUCACCAAAUUCCUUGCAAAAAUCUUCAUUAGUGAACCAAAAAUAAUAUCAUCAACAUAAACUUGGCAAAUGAGGAUUUCCCCAUUCAUUUUCUUGGUAAGAGUGUUGUGUCAACUUUCCCAAUCUUGAAACCCUUCUCAAUGAGGAAGUCCCUAAGCCUCUCAUACCAAGCUCUAGGAGCUUGCUUGAGACCAUAGAGAGCCUUGGACAACCAGUAGACAUGCUUGGGAUACCUAGGGUCUUCAAAACCGAGGGGUUGCUCAUCAUAGACAAGCUCAUUAAUAUAACCAUUUUAAAAAAAACACUUUUCACAUCCAUUUGAAACAACUUGAUAUCAAGACUAGAUGCAUAUGCAAGUAGGAUACGGAAUGCUUCAAGUCUUGCCACCGGUGCAAAUGUUUCACCGAAGUCAAGACCUUCCACUUGUGAAAAGUCUUUUGCCACGAGCCUUGCCUUGUUGCUCACCACUGUGCCUUGAUCAUCUUUCUUGUUCCGGAAAGACCCAUUUUGUUCCACACACCAAAACUUGUUCUAGGUUUUUAAAUAAAUUCAUUUUGGGGGCUUUUUGGAUAAAAUCCAUUUCUCAAUUUCUAUAGCUCCAAAAAUUUUACAAAAAUACUCUUAAUUCUCCUAAGACAUAUUUCAACCUAAUUUGGGCAUUACAAGGAUUUUGGAACAAGCAUACUAUUUUUAUCAUAUUUAAUUCACAUAAAAACAAGCACAUAAAAUCAUACUAGGAUAAAUGCUAUGCUCAUGUGAUGCUAUGCUUGAUGAGAAUGCUUAUGUAUGGGUUUAUGAGACUAAGUGCAUGCUUAACACCUAGGGUGUUACAACCCUUCCCCCCUUAGGGAAAUCUCGUCCCGAGAUUUUGGGUUACUAACCAUCUCUUAUGAAAUUUUGGGUAAACUGUUUUUAGGUAAUCCUCGGUUUCCCAGGUGGCAUCUCUAUCAUUGUGAUGACUCCACACCACCUUGUAAGUCUUGACAACUCUAUUCCGGGUUACCCACACCUUGGUAUCUACGAUACCCACCGGUUGUUCUUUAUAUUCCGAAUCUGCCUUUAUCUUGAUUCCUCGAGGUUCGAUCCUCUGUUCGGGUACUUUCAAACAUUUUCUUAGCUAGGACACAUGAAACAUCGGAAAGAUUGAGCUCAACUCUUCAGGUAGCUGAAUCUUGUAGGCCACAGGGCCUUUCUGUUCUAGUAUCUGAUACGGCCCCACAUAUCUAGGUGCAAGCUUGCUUCUAACUCGGAAGCGCUGAACUUUCUUCAUCGGUGUAACCUUGAGGUAUACAUAGUUACCCACUUUAAACUCAAGUGGCCUUCUCCUCUUGUCGGCAUAACUCUUUUGUCGUGAUUGUGCCGCCCUCAUGUGUUGUUGUAUGAUUUGCACCUUCUUCUCAGCCUUGUUCACGAAGUCGAUACCAUAGUAUCUCCUUUCGCCGGGUUCGACCCAGUUUAACGGAGUCCUAUACUUUUGGCCAUACAAAGCUUCGAACGGAGCCAUCUUGAUACUCUCUUGAUAGCUAUUGUAGUACGAGAAUUCAGCCAAAGGUAACCAUGAUUCCCAUGAUCCCUUGGGUAAUAACACACAAGCACGUAGCAUAUCUUCGAGCACUUGAUUGAGUCUUUCCGUUUGACCCGAGGUUUGGGGAUGGUACGCUGUGCUCCUUAUCAAACUAGUCCCCAAACUCUUAUGCAUUCGCUCCCAAAAAUGAGGUGAACUGCGGUCCUCUAUCUGAUAUGAUGGUUUUGGGAUACCAUGUAGCUUGAGGAUCUCAGCCAUGUAUAUAUCAGCAUACUCAGGAGGUCUGUACGUGUUCUUAAGUGGAAUAAAAUGAGCCGACUUGGUCAAUCGAUCUAUGAUUACCCAAAUCGAGUCAUUUCCCUUUCGUGUGGUCAGCAAACCUGUGAUGAAAUCCAUGCUAACCUCUUCCCACUUCCACUCUAGAACUGACAACGGUUGCAACAGACCUGCAGGUUUCAUAUGUAUAGCUUUGACUAUGCAACACGUGUCACAACGAGCCACAUAUGCUACUAUCUCUUUCUUCAUUUUGGUCCACCAAAAGUGCGACCAUAGAUCUUGAUACAUCUUACUACUGCCAGGAUGGAUAGAAAGCUUCGAGAGAUGCGCUUCAUCCAUGAUGCGAUUCUUUAAUUCUCGAUUCUUCGGAACUACCAACCGGUGCUGAAACCAUAAUACACGUUUUUCAUCAACUCGGAACUGAGUCUUUGGAUCUUCUUUGAUCUUCUCUUUGAUGUGAAGAAAACCCUUAUCUGUUUUCUGACCCUCGAUGACUUGACUUUCAAGUGAACAACUGAGCUGUAUGUGACAUAAGACUUCAGGAUGCAUGAGAUUGAAACCAUCUUCAAACAAAGGUUAAACUACUUGAUAGUGUGGUUUGUGAAUCAAGGCGUCUGCUACCACAUUAGCCAUGCCUAGAUGAUAGUGGACCUCCAGAUCAUAAUCCUUGAUCAGUUCUAACCAUCUUCGUUGCCUCAUAUUCAGCUCAGACUGAGUGAAGAUAUACUUUAGACUUUUAUGAUCUGUGUAGAUAUGACACUUGUUGCCCACCAAAUAGUGCCUCCAGAUCUUCAAAGCGUGCACUACUGCUGCUAGCUCAAGGUCAUGAGUCGGGUAGUUGACUUCGUGCUUUCUUAACUGUCGUGAAGCGUAAGCUAUAACUCUGCCUUCUUGCAUUAGCACACUCCUAAACCGCUUUUCAAUGCGUCGCAAAACACAUCAAAAGGCUUCUCGAUAUUUGGUUGCGCCAGAACGGGAGUGGUGGUCAGCAACUUUCGCAAGUUGCGGAAGGCUAUUUCACACCCUUCCGUCCAGACAAACUUAUGAUCCUUUUGUAAUAAACUGGUCAUUGGCUUAGCAAUCUUGGAGAAGUCAGGGAUGAAACGACAAUAAUAUCCGGCUAGACCAAGAAAGCUUCAAACUUACGAGACAGAAGUUGGUGCCUUCCAGUCCAUGACUUCCUGUACCUUUGACGGAUCCACAGCAAUCCCUUCUUCUGACAGAAUGUGCCCUAGGAAAGGAACUUUCUUCAGCCAGAACUCGCACUUGCUGAACUUUGCAUACAACUGAUGCUCUCACAGCCGUGUUAGCACGACUCUUAGAUGCUCGGCAUGAUCUUGCUCAUUCUCUGAGUAGACUAGAAUGUCGUCGAUGAACACCACAACAAACUUGUCUAACUCUGGCAUAAAUACUGAGUUCAUCAGAUACAUAAAGUAUGCAGGAGCAUUUGUCAACCCAAAGGACAUGACAAGAUACUCAUACAACCAAUAUCUGGUAGAAAAAGCAGUCUCUGGGAUAUCUUGUGGACGGAUCUUGAUUUGGUGAUACCCGGACCUCAAAUCUAUCUUGGAAAACACUUUUGCCUUGGAAAACUGAUCAAACAAGAUAUCAAUUCGCGGCAAAGGGUAGUUAUUCUUGAUUGUCACCGCAUUGAGUGGACGAUAGUCCACGCACAUGCGCAGCGAUUGAUCCUUCUUUUUCACAAACAACGUCGGACAACCCCAUUCUGACGAACUUGGCCGGAUGAACCCUUUAUCUAACAAUUCCUUUAGUUGAUUUUUCAAUUCAGCGAGUUCAUUAGGCGGCAUCCGGUAUGGCCUUCUAGAGAUUGGUGUUGUACCUGGUAUUAGCUCUAUUGCAAACUCUACUUCCCUAUCUGGAGGAAGUCUUGGCAACUCUUCGGGAAAAACAUCAGGGAACUCACAGACCACUGGUAUAUGUUCUAGUGGGACCACCUGUACUGCACACGAAAGACUGGCGGAGUAUAACCGCCGGGGUAGCCUGACCUGAAGCAUACCCUCCCCCUGCGGGUCUUUAAGGGAGAGAGUUCUAUGUCCAGCAUCUAUAACUGCACCCCAGUCAGUCAUCUUAUUCAUUCCAAUGAUAACAUCCAAAACCAGUCCUAGCAUGACCACAAGGUUUACACAAAACCUUCGGCCACUGAUAUCCAAGGUAACCCCCGUUACUGCUUUGUUAGUCAACACAUCAGCCCCUGCUGAACUGAUGCGAUAACCAUAACCCAACUCGGUAACUGGUUGGUCAUGCUUUUGUGCAAAUGCUUGGCUCAUGAAUGAAUGCGAUGAUCCAGAAUCAAACAAAACAACUGCAAGAUGUUGGUUGACAGGAAACAUACCAGUCGUUACCGGUUCUCCUUCUGGGAUCUCCUCUAUCGAGGUAUGGUGCACACAGGCUGGGUAGGUUGCCUGCUGCUUCUUGGGGUAGGGGCAUUCCUUAGCAAAGUGCCCCAUCUUGUGGCAGUUAUAGCACGGUCCCUUGGUCAUGUUGUUGGCAGCAGGUGCUGCAGCUUGAAUUGCCUUUGGGUUGGCAGGAGCUAUUGCUAUCUUGUACGGCUUCUGUUGCGUUGGAUGUCCUGUGUUCCUUCUCUGCGGUGGUCGGAACCUAGCACCUGGGGCAGGAGGACGAUACUGCUGAAGUCCUGCCACUGGUGCCCUGGACUGAGACGAUCCGACUUCAAAAGCCCUCUUGCGAGACUUGGAUGCACUAUAGUUGUUGUUAUUGUUCUCCUGGGUCAGACAGUCACUGAUGUAGGCAUUGAAGGUAGCCCGGGUUCCUGUACCCAUGGUCUUCAGCAUCUUUGGGCUCAAGCCUCUCUGGAAACUAGCGAUCUUCUUGGCCUCUAUGUUCACAAACUUGGGAGCGUAGCGAGCAAGAUUGUUAAAAGCGUGCAGAUACUCCUUCACAGACUUCAUUCCUUGGGACAGCCUCAUGAACUCCCCCAACCUUCAUUUCCACUACACCCGGAGGAAUAUAAUUCCCUCGAAAGGCGGUGGUGAAGCGGUUCCAGGUGAUCGGGGUCCCCUCUGGGUAGGUGGUGCGAUGAUGGGACCAUCAAAUCCCAGCAGGCCCCUGCAGCUGAUGCGUCGCAUACUCGGCCUUGAGCUCUUCGGUCAUCCGAAGGAGACGGAACUUUUGCUCCAUGGUGUUAAUCCACUCAUCUGCCUCGAGUGGUUCCAGGUCCUCCUUGAAGACCGGUGGUUUAGUAACCACGAAAUCCUUGAAAGAGCUGUACUGAUUGACUUCACGGCCGCCCUGGUUGUCCCCACGACGGGUGUUGUCAGCGAUAUUGCGCAAGGCCUCUUCCAUGUUGCGCUGCAUCUGCUCCAUGUUGCAUUGGCUCCCUAGAAACUGCGCAAAAAACAUGUUCGCAGUGUACGGAGGAGGGGGUGGUGGUGGCGGUGAUGGUGCUCUCUCCUCAUUCCUUUGAGCCCCACCUCUGGAUGUACCUGCUCCAAGAUCGGGGUUGCUGUUACCCCCGCCACGUGUUUGCACCAUCUGCAUGCGUCAAUGAUAAGCAGUCGUUAGGAGUUGCCAUCAACGGUAGACAUAUGUAGAAUCAUGCCGUACUGAAUUUACUGAGGAAAAUAAAUUCGCACAAUAAACAGAGGCACAACAAUUCAUCAUCCACACACGACAUCACUAACGGAUUACUUAACAUUCAAGCAACAAGGUUCGCAUACAUCCAAAAUUGCCAGCAUACAUACACUGGACUUUCAGCGUUCAACACAGCUCAGCACAUAGAGUCUUAUACAACAACGGUCCAACAGAUUAUAAGACAUGCCAUGCAACAACAACAGCAAAAGAAGAAGGACUAGCUCUAGAGCCCUAGCAUCUACUCGUUAUGGUCACUGUCCAUGCCGGAGCCCUCCUCGUCCUCAUCUCCACUAGCGGCUGCCUCCAUCUCUGGAUCCUCAUCCAUCUCAUCCUCAGAUUCUAACUCAGCUGCUCCAGGCAGGUGGUGAGGGUGGAGCUGGUUAUGCAGCUGGUGGAUCUCCUCAUGCAGGUUCUCAUUGUACUCCUCAGCAUUAGCUAACUGCUGCUCAAGCUCUAGCUGUCGGGCCCUCAGGGUGUCCUCCUCAUGCCAGGCUUCAUUCCUCUGACCAAGCACAUGAACUAGCAUGCGCUCGCAGUUCCUUUAAGCGGUGGUCACCCUGUCCCUCUGCUCUCUCACUGCGAGCAGGUCCUGACUCAGCUCACUGUUCUUCUGGACUGCCUGAUCCCUCUCUAGGGUCACCCAGGCCAACUCUGCCUGCAGCCUCACAACCUCAGUAUCAAACUCACGCUGCAACUGGCGCUUCUCAUGAUGAAUGGUGAGAGGAGACCCGGACAAGCAUCCCAAACAACGCUCCAGACCCCCAUAGGUCUUCAUCAAGGCAAACAUAGCACUCAUAGCUACGCUGUCACUGUGCUGGUCCUCAUCCGCACUCCUCUCUAGAGCAUUCACCUCGGACUGAUCCCACACUGAAGUGUAGAGGUCACCCCAGGGAAACACCCCAGCGAAGGCCUGGGCCAGCUCCUGCGGAAACCUCUCCAUGAUGUCCCUUAGCACCGCAAAAGAAGCCCUACUGGCACCCUGGAAAGGCGUGGUACCUCAGGACUCGUACGCCCAGCCACCCCAGGCGGGGUCACCUCCACUGGUAGGGACCACUGCCUCGAUCCCCACCAGGUCCCGUCACCAAGCUGCUCCUUGUUCCAAAAGUAGCGUGGUUCCCUCCCUUCGGGAUACCCCAUCAAACUGAGUACCCUCCAAAGCAAGGUGGGCAUCCCAAACUCCUCUAGGAACUUGCUCUUAUGACACGAGCUCCUAGCUGCCAACUGAUGGUGAGGGGCCCGCCCACCAGUGGACUUGCGAGCAGUGAGCCUAGUGCGCGCCAUCUACUGCAAAUAGAGUACCUUGGGUAAGACUGAGGAUUAUCUUUUAUUAUCUUAAUUGAAAUUCGGACAGAUUUAAUUUAAGGGGAGGAAGUAAGCAAUGAUAUGGAAUGAACUUACGAUCUCACAAACUUAGAAACAAAAGUUAUCACUAAUCGGUAUAUGCGGUGGCACACAACGUCCUCUCAUAACGUAACUAGCGUUCUAGGCGGAGACGGGGUUAGCGUACCUGCAGAAAACUCAUUUCAGCCCAACCACAGUAUGAACAUGCAAAACAAGAAUUUAAAGCUAUACACCCCACACACAUAGACACCACAUCCAUGCAUAUGGCGUGUUACUACCCACAUCAUCGCCCUAGUGACGGCAUCGCCUCUCAUGACGGAAUCUCCCAACAUGCGGUACUGUUCCCAGGCACACAAGAUAUGCGUGCAUGACACAACACCUUAAAGCACUUCCCUAGAUCGGCAGUGUAUCUGAUCAUGCUCUCACAGCUCCCACUUACCGAGGCGUAGAGGAAGAAUUGAUCCAUACAUUACCACUCAAUUGAAUGGCACUCAUACUAUUGCACAUCGUAUGAGCGACGAAAUAGAAAUAUGAUGCAUUAACCCCCAAGUCAGUACUUAACUAGCCACCUUAGAGUCCUUAACUGGGCAUAAAGGAUAUAACCAUGGCACACUGUGUAGUUUUCCAAAAACUCAUUUUAACACCUUGAUUAACAUUAAUUGCAUAGUUAACUUUUAUUUACCGGUUUAAGUUUAAUUUAGAACGUACUUAUGAACAGUAACUCGCUAAACCUUGCUCCGAUGCCAGCUGUAACAGAACCGCCCAAAUUAUAAGAGAUUAAGCCUAAUAGUGACCAUUUGCACAGUCAAACCAUCGAGCUUAAGCCCAUAUAAUCCCGGUAGUCCGUGAAAUGUUGAAGGAUUUCAAACCACAUAUCGUACGUACAACCAAGAUCGUAAUAAGUUCAGCGGUCACCAUUCACAAUUACAUCCAGUUCGCAUCAUUCAUCAAAUACAUCGGAGUACUUAAAGUUAUUACAAACCAAGUUCUCAAGUAGCGGAAGCUUCAUAGUUUGAAAGUAACACACACACAUUUAGUCUGAUACAGUGCCAUAAUUUGAUCAUUCCCACAAAAGCAAGAGAGAAGGUAGAGUGACCAUCGCCCUUGGUCUAGUCAUCACCCAUUGUUGGGUACAAGCAGUGAAUGUAAUAACCAUAGUACAUCUGCCCAUCUGCAAAACAACAUGGGAAUAGAACCCUGAGUACGAGAAUGUACUCAGCUAGACUUACCCGUCAUAAACCAAAAUAAAGACUCUUCAAGGAUCAUGAAGGUGUAUAGUGGGGUAGCUGAGACUUUUUGCGUAAAAGCACUACUCCACUAGAAGUACCUCCUAACAGUACUCCCUUUUCUUUUUAUUAGCUUAGGUUAGGUAUUAAUACCUAUCAUCUAGAUUUGCACCUGUACUAAUUCAAGCAAGUGUGGUAAUAUGAUGGUACCUCAUCAUAGCAUUCAUAAAUCAUUUGUCAUCAUAACCCAAGUGUUCCAUAGUCCUUACUACGAGGAUGAAGCUCGUGUCAAGUGCUCACUAUCUAGGAGCGAUGGCGAUUCGAAUUGAAUUCCGACCAGCUGGCGAGUUUAUUCCCCAGACAAACCCCACUCACUGAUCAAGUGAGCUACAGAUCACCGUAUUGCACUAUCCAGGACCAAAUCGCGGGUUCGACAGGCACCGCCCGUACCCGAGGACCGUUCUAGCGACCGAGGUAUCCAUGGUAUACCAGGGUUGCGCGCCGUGCCCUCGUCGUUCUCCUCAACCAUCACCAAUACAGCGCGUACAUCGGGCCGAUUCUAGGACCGGAUAGUGCUUAGGCUUCGCGGUCGGAACGACUUAUCCUUCCAGCUAAGUGUGGGGCAUGCGUUCAACAUGACAAGAGGGUCGUCAACGAUCGGUCCUUAAUCGACACAGGCAGGGGCACUACGGUCAACUCCACCAUAAGACCCUGCCCGGUCUCAGAGUCAUUUCCCCACUUGGUUACUUUUCCUCAAAGCAUGAUCAACUAAUCAAACAGGUGUCCACCUAUAUCUCGCAGGUGAGAGGAAAUCACCCGACUUCUACUGUACUAGGAAAGCUAAGCAUAGACUCUGAGCCUAUCUACAUAGGACAAGGUAGAUAAACCAGUGGUGAUAUCAAGGAGUACGUAUGCAUCAACGAUAUCAAGCAAUUCCUAUCACUAAAAUGCAACAUAGUAAAACAAGCAUAAUAUAUCCUCUAAGUUAGCGAGAAUAGGGAAACUUAGAAUGCUCCGCGGCUUGCCUUUCUCAAACGUGCUCGGCUUGUGGUCCGGGCACUCCUGCAGCUCUUCUCUCGGCUCUGAUCCUCCUUGAAGUUCCUGCUCUGGGGUCUCCUCCUGCUCCUCGGGUCCCACCUCAUUCUCCUGUGAGCUUGUAUGAUGCAUGUGUGCUCAUGAGUGGAGUGCGAGAUGCCCGGGGUGCAAUGCUUAUGCAAGUGGGUACUAGAUGACCAUGACAUGGUGUAUAAAUGACAUAGGUGGUUACUCCUACAAGGUAGUCAACAUCAUCCAAGAACAUGUACUCAGAUUAAGCAUCUAUUGCAUUCUCUUCUACAAAUUGCUUUCAUAGUUAACCAGCAGCUAACAUGAUGCUUCAAAGAUACACCAAACACCCUUUGAUUCUAUUUAGUUUAUGCAUAAUAAUUCAUAGUUUAUUUAAUCAUUAUUGGACCUACAAAAGUAGCAGAUAUUUCUGUUUAUCAAUAAAUUCCACAAAAAUUACAGUAGAUCACUAGUCAACCAUAAAGUCUACCAUAAAUUUUUCAUAAUAUUUGGACACUUAUUUUGGGCUACAAAAAUUACAAGAUCACUCCAUAUAAUUAAGUAUAAAUACCCUACUGUUGACCAAGUGUCAAACAACAGAUUUCAUAUUUUUAUAAAUUACUUGUUAACAUAAGAAACACCCACAAAAAUUUUCAUAUUAAUUGCAUGAUCCAAUUAUUUAUUAAAAAUCAUAAACCACUUCCAUGCAAGCAUUUAAAUCAUCAUAAAUUAAUUUAUACAGCAAAUAAUAGGUAACACAUUUUUCCCAGAGACUAAUCAUCCAUGCAAAGCCAACAAAACAAGUUUCACAUUUUUCUGAGUUAUAUUUUAAUUACUAUGCAUUUUCUAAUCUUCAGCAAAAACAUGGAUUAAAUAUAUUUGUACAGAAAAGUUGUUCAAACAUGACAUGCAACCACACCAAACUAUAGAUCUGGAAUUAUAGAACACACUACAAUUUAUUUCAUCAUUUUUGGAACCAUGGAUUCAAGAUAUAGAUUUAACAUCAUUUAAACCAUUUUCUGGAAAAUAUUUUCUGAAAAACCAAUUCAAAUCCGGAAUGAAAAAUGCUAGAAACACCCGGAUCUCUACCCGCCUUGGUCCCCCUGCGCCUGACAGUGGGUCCCCGACCCCACUGGUCAGCGUGACCGAGAGGGAGAGCACCUCUAACGAGCGGAUCUCGUCGGCAGUGAGGUCUCCGGCCACGGGGUGAGCACCAACGUGCUCCCCGCAGCGAGGCGCACCCGAGGGUGCCCUUGGUUCGGCCGGAGGACGACCGGAGCACCCCCGCUGGCGUGCAUGGCAGCACGGCGGCGCUGCUCGCCGUGGCCAGGCCGCUCCAGUGGAGUAGAGCGCGCACGGGGUACCGCCUAAGCUUCCCCGUCACGCUACAAACCUAACGCGCUCAAGAACAAGCGAAGCGGGGCAGAAACGAGAAGGUUUCAACGCGGUGGAGCUCUCCAAUGAGGUCGGGCAAACUCCGGCGAGAGAUUGCGGGUUCACGGAGGGCUUUCACCUUGGUAGAGCGCGCGCAGGGGCUUACCGCGGCGAAGGCGAACGCGACGGUGGUCUUGGCGCAGAGAACAAGCUACUAACGCGGCCUGCGGCGAGCGGCGGAGCUUCGGCCGGCAAUGGCGCCGCGGCAGUUGCUGCUGCUGCGGCUGCGCUCGCGAGCGGAGAAGGAGAGGGAGCGGGAGGGGACAGAAUGGCGUCUGGGGGCGCAGGGUGCCGUCUCGACCGGGGUAAGCCGGUCGGCCGAGCGGCGCGUCCACAACGCCGGCGUACGGCCGCCAUGUGGUCGGCGCCGGGUGGAGCGAGGCGGGCGUCCGCGCGCGGGAGAGGGGAGGGGGAAACCGGGCCGCGCGGCUUGGCUGGGCCGAAAGGGAGGCGGGUCGGCCCAGCAGCGCCUGCCCGCUUUUCUUUUUUUUGAAUUUCUUUUCUCCAAAAAGCUUAAAUGGGAUUUUUGGGGCUUUUUCAAAUCUUUUCAGGUGUUAGAGUAAAAAUUCAUUUUGGGGGCUUUUGGAUAAAAUCCAUUUCUCAAUUUCUAUAGCUCCAAAAAUUUUACAAAAAUACUCUUAAUUCUCCUAAGACAUAUUUCAACCUAAUUUGGGCAUUACAAGGAUUUUAGAACAAGCAUACUAUUUUGAUCAUAUUUAAUUCACAUAAAAACAAGCACAUAAAAUCAUACUUGGAUAAAUGCUAUGCUCAUGUGAUGCUAUGCUUGAUGAGAAUGCUUAUGGAUGGGUUUAUGAGACUAAGUGCAUGCUUAACACCUAGGGUGUUACAAAAGUGAAGCUCAAAAUCUUGAUGAUGUGAGAGGAGAUCAAUUAGCAAAUGCAAUGAAGAACAUGGAUGUAGGUGACAUAAGGCCGAGGCAAGUUAAUGAUGAUAAUGAUAUUCACAUGAUUAAUCAAGAAGUGGAAAUUGAUACAAAUCAAGCUAGUACUAGUGGCUCUCAUGAUGAUGAUCAAAAUCAAAGUUAAGCUAGUGGAAACAAUCAACUCCCAAUACUCCAACCUACAAGCAUAGCAAGGGAUCAUCCAUUGGAUCAAGUCAUUGGUGGUAUUCAAAGUGGUGUACAAACAAGAUCAAGGCUAGCAUCCUUUUGUGAGCACUAUUCAUUUGUCUCAUGUUGCUAUAAAUUAACUGCACUCCUUUUAAAUAAGAUUUAAGUAAGAUUAUCUGCAAGCGCACAGAUAUCAUACCAAUGUCACAUUUUACCCGGGGGGUUUUAGAUAUCGUAUCCAUAGGGAAGGUCUAUAUGUAGGACUUAUAACUAUAACUUAUACUAUUGAUGUGAACGGUAAACCAUAACUAGAAUCCUACUCAUAAGAGGGAUAAGUCACUUGAUAAAAGAUAUAAGAUAAAUAAUAAUCAUUCAUCAUAAAUAGAUAAAUACUAGAGCUCUUCUAGUCACAGCAAUAGCCAGCCAAUGGAUAAACUCAGGAAUACUAAGAUAAUUCUAUAACUACAUCAAUGAAUAGCUCUAAUUAGUGCAAUUACAUCUAGAAAUCAUUGUUAAGUCAACCAUAUAUAAUAAUCACAUGUAAAGAGGCAUCAACUAAUGAGGGUAUUAAGACACAAGGGUCACCUCCUUCGCGACCAUGCCCAUACUAGUCCUACGUACAAAGGGUGGACUACAGAGGAACCAAUGCAGCUGUUACCUGUGAGGACUACCACACAUCCCGGCACAUCAGGGUGCACUCGUAGAUAAACAAGAUAUCUAGACACCACGUCUACAUACCGUCUACCAUCUACCCAAUGAUCAAUUAGGUAAACACUAUACGAGCAAUUACAUGAAUUCAAUAAGAUUAAACCAACUAUCCUAGACAUAUGAUCAAAGUAGACAAUGACUAUUGCAAUUAAGAAUAUAUAAGAGAUUAAGAACAAUGUUGACUGAAUCAUAAUAUUGAAUACAAUAAGAGAAAAGGACUAGAACUAUACCGAACUCUGAGCUCCAGACAGACGCCAGGGGCUCCAGAUCUCGCUGAAUAACUAGAACUCUUCUAAUUCUAAUCUAACUAGGCUAAAGCUAUGAACUAGAGAGGCUCUGAUGAACUAGAGAAGGCUCUUGAUGGAUUGAUCUCCAAAUUACUUGAUGCCUUAGGGAGGGCGGUCUGCCCCUUUAUUUCUAGUCUGGUGGGAUGCACGUGCGCCGUAGGAUCAAACCGACUUAACCAAGAGCCGAGAUGCAUCAGGAGAGGUGGUGGAGGAAGCUUCUAGAAGGGGGGCCAAAACCCUAACAUUGGAGCGCCGGCGGGCGCUAGGGUGGGGCUGGCCGACCCCACCUGGUAGACUCUAGCCCCCCCGGCUCUUCGGGUGUCUUCCAGAGUCUUCCCACGUCCCGAUCGUGAUCUUUUCGUGGUGGAUAAGUUUCGUGUUUAUUUUGCACUUGAAUCCUUCUUUUCCGCUUUUCUGGAAAUAGACCCUAGAAAAUAUAGAAUAUGCAAAACUCGUGGAAAUUGUCAGUCUAAACCCUAGACUAGUGUUUUUUUAUGUUCUCCUUCGGGUCUAAAGUUCUAAUAAAAGUUGACAUUAUCGACCAUCAAAAAUUGCCCCAUGCUUAUCUUUUGCCAGUCCCUUGGCAAACCAAGCCUAAGUAGUAUAUGUAUUUGGAUCAAGAGUUGCUACAAUGUUUUCAUUCUUUCCAAGUACACAUGCUCCCAAACAAAGAUCUCCUCCAGAUUAGCUAAUAACUGCUCUAAUCUUCAAAUCUACCUAUUUUAACUUUAACCAUGGGGCUUUACAACUCUUGCAUGAGUCUUGAGCAAUCAGAAGACAGAACAAUCAGGUCAAGUACUAUGUCUCAAAUUCUUUGCAGAACCAUCAUUCUGGAGUUUUUUAUAAGUUUUCAGAAUAAAACUUAGAGCUUAAUUGUAUGACACCCUCAAAUCUCUCAAUGUAUGUGGUAUUUAUGGUUCUCUCUUGAGGCAUUAAUGAUGUUAUGCCUUCUAUAGCUAAAGGUAUAUAUGGUAGAGCUUAUAGGAGUGCCAAUAACAAGGAUAGACAUACUUGCAAUGCAUGUAUUGUAAAGUCAACUAAUGGAUCCAUAGAGAAUCAUGGCAUACAAUCAAACCAAGAUGUGCAUGUAUAUGGAAUAUGGUGAAUAGGUGCAUUUGUGGUAUUUGUGGCUAAUCUCUAUCUUCUUUGGGAAUAGCUCUCUAUUGAAACUUUUCAGGAAAGACAUGGGCUAUCUUUAUUUUAUUUUUUUAAUUCAGGGAGGCGGGCAUCUAGUACCCAUUGUUUUAAUUACUGGGACACUUGUCCAUCUUUUACUCCGUUUUCUUCUUUUAUAUUUUUGCAUGGCCACACGUAUCCUUUGAAUACAAUAAAUGAUCAGAGAGGUAGCAAUAAGUACUUAGAGCAAUUAAACAAAGGUUGUCCUAUGGGUUUAUAUAUAUUUUUGGGUGUUUGACUCCCAGUGUAGGAGAAAAACAAUUUUAAGGUAGAUCUGGAUGAAAGUGGAAAAUGGUUGCAUUUACUCCCAGAGUAGGACUAAUGCAUAUGUAGAUGGAGUGUGUGUGUGAUCUUGAUUUUAAAAGCAUGAGAAGACUCUCAUAUGGUAUACGACAAAGGUUGACUGAACUCAAUGCAAAGCAAGCAGCAUGAAUGAGCAAAGGUUUCCUUAAUCUAAAUGUAUAUGAUAUAUGGCUUUGCUAGGAAUUCAUACCUUGUUAUACAAGAGCUCAUCAUGUAGGAUUUUGGGUUUUCAAAAUAAAUCUCCAGAACUUAAUAAUGCUAGGAAUAAGACAAAUAGUAGCUCAGACUUUCAAUGAUCAUAUCAACCAACUACCUAGACUUAGCUCAAACUUAUCCCUCCACAAGUUGCAGGUUCAAAGUAAACCUUCAAAUUAAAACAGUAAUGUCCAAAACUCGAGAGAAUCUAACAUUGAAAUCUAGGUACUUGUAAAGAACUACAAUAAAGUAACUAUUCAUCACCUCCAAGACAAAAUUUUAAUGUUCAUCAGUUUUUUUUAAUUAACUCUAGCCUAGACACACUAUAAUAUAAUUAAUACUAAAUAAGACUUCUUUUUAUUGGUUUUAUAUUAAAUACCUGAUAAAAGACUCUAUGACUUUGUGGACCUUCAUGUGUACACAUAUUUUUGGUAUUUUAUGAAUAUCUAUAUAAAAUAAAUUAAUAAUCGCCUAGGUGUCGUCAUCUAAUAACUAUGGGAUGCUCCUCCCCCAAGCUAGAUGGUUGCAUCAAAUUCGUAGCUUGCGCACCUGUCUGCCGAUAAACUACUACUGUGGGUAUACCCCUAGGUAGACUGCCGACUAGCUUUCGUCGACAGUGGCGCGCCAGGUAGGGGGAGUGCGUACAGCUUCCUAAACGAACAAGAUGGUCAUCAUCCCAGCUUCCGCUGCCGUGGCUGAAGGUCUCACGUUCACCGUCGGCCAGAUCACUUGGAUGACUCAUGUGGCGGCCUUACGACCACGACUCUGGAAGAAACUCAGAUCCGAUCUGGGGCAUCAGAGGCGAUGACCCCGAUCACUUACGCCCACCAUGAUCACUACGACUCUGAGGGCCCGACCUCCGCUCCCUCGCUACAAGGGAAAACAAGUCGACAACUCAGACCUUCUUGAAGCCAUCGAUCACGCCGACCACAAGCUUCUUGAAGUCUCCAACCAGGUGGAUUUGAUUCCAUGCAAGCUUGAUCCAGCACUAGUAUCGAGUUUUUUCAAUUCCCAUCGACCAACUCGUGCCACCACGCACGAACGACUGGGGACGUCCUUGACGAUAACGUCAACCACAAGGGGGUGGAUUGUUAAGCUCAAGACAGCCUCACCAGAAGAGAACUUUCCUCAUGGUCUGAGUAACGCGGGCGAUUAGGUCUCACGGCAUACCCAAUCCCUAUUCGCGAAGAUGGGAUUGUCGCCGGAGCAAACCAGGUGGACAGCUCGUCACUUUGUCAAUAUGGUAUCCAUCUGCACUCUGCUAGAAGACAAGGCCACCAGUACAAACUCUAGCACAGGGUCUGUCCCUAUCGAGGUUUUACAUCCCGAGGACGAAGACUACGACCUAGAUCUGUCGCUCUACCCCUGGGUUUUUCCUACUUUCCAAUCUUUCCACCUUGACGAGGAGAUCUGGUCUUCAACGUCAGCAAUGACAAACCAAUUGUCGAUGGCAAAACCGACGAACAAAGACAGCAGCGCGAACAGCGCAACGCCGAUCGUGCUCAGCGACGAGCAGAUGAGGAGAGGCAAUUAAUCCCAAACAACCUUGAUGAUGCUUUCGACAUGGUUGGAAAUCAGCAAGUGUUCAAGACACCAAGUGCCAACGUGGCCGUCACCAUGGCAAAUCUCGAUCGACUUCCAGAUACUCCAGAAUAUCAGGACGUUCGAACCAGCAUACGAGCGCAUCUCAUCGCUGCCAUGGGACAGACCGCUACUCUGCUCAAAAAGGUCCAAGCCGUCUCCUAUACGGAGGUCACCUCUGACCAGACACAUCGCAGCCUAACCUCACCGCGACCCGGCGGACACCGUCUUAGCCAUUCACCUAUCAAUGAUCAAAGGAAGGACACCCAUCGCGACAAUCAUGGUCGGGACGCUGGCAGUUACCACGAGCAAAGACGUGGACAUGGUUAGGAGGUGAACCAAGACCGGGACCACGACAAAACCUCCCUACUAGUUAUGCCCGUGAGCACAUCAACAGGCGUAUUACUGAUACAGUAGUACACAAAAAUGUGCGACGCAUCGUGUAUGAUGCAGCCCACGGCCCCCCAGGCCUAAGACAAUUCUCCUCACACCUUCGGCAGGUCGUAUGGCCCCACAAUUUCAAGCUUGAGAAGCUUAAAAAGUACGACGGCAAGGAGAAUCCCAAAAACUGGAUCACUCUUUAUGAGAUCGUAGUUCGAUCAGCAGCAGGAGACGAGCACGUCAUGGCAAACUAUUUCCCAAUCGUCCUUGACCAAGCUGGCCACCAAUGGCUCCUCGGUCUACCCGAGGACUCUUUUGAUUCUUGGGAGGAAUUGCGCCAGGCAUUCGAUAACUUCAUUGCUACCUGCGAGCAGCCUGGAAAUAAAUACGACCUUGAGAGGAUAAGGGACAGGAAGAAUGAGCCCCUACGCGACUACAUCCGAUGCUUCUCGGAUAUGCGCUGUUGGGUAUUCUUAACAUCAUUACCAAAAGUAGACUAAGUUCUCUAAAUCUAGUAACGGUGCCAAAAAUGCCAAACCUAUCCCUCACACCACUUAAGCCAAGUUGUCAUCUCCAGCAUGAUAUAAGAGACGCGGUAUUGAAAUAUGCAAUUGCUCUUCUAAAUAAAUAAUGAAUGGGAUCUGCAAGCGCACAGAUUAAUACCGAUGUAGCAUUUUAACCGGGAAGUAUUCCAGGUAUCGUUAUUUAUAUUUUUACCACUGGGAAGGGAUUAGCAAUCAUCAAUAUUGAUUACAGAAUAGAAUAUGAGAUUGAGCAUCUAUCAUUGCAUGUAUAAUUGAGAACAUUAUAUCUAACUCUUCAUACAGGGAUAAGUGUCACAUGAAAGAUAUAUGAAAUAAUAAUAGUGACAAGGAUAACUAAUCUGAUCUAGCCACAUAAUAAAUAUGAUAAGCACCUCAAUUAGAUACUCUAGAAAGUCAUUAGCAUGGUAUUAGAAUGAACUACAAGAAUAUUCCCUAAGUUAUUCUCAACUAUAUAGUCUAGCAUUAUCAUAGUUAGUGCAAGCAUACUUAGCAAUCAUUGUGAGACAAGACUACGCCCAUGCAUAGUGAUAUUAGCAAGGUAAAUGAGAAACAUAGCAAUCACUCCCCUGUAAUAAUGUUGCUCUGCCAGCCCAAUACACGAGAGGGGGACUAUAUAAGAAUCAAUGAAGCUGUCACUAUCACGAACCACCCCACGAUCUGGCAUAUUGGGUACAAUCGCAGAUAAAUACGGUAUAAGCACCACGCCUACACAAUAUCUAUCAUUUACCCAUGGAUCCGAUGGAUAAACGCUAUACGAUCCUAAGCAUGUAUAUAGAUCGAAUCUAACUAAGCCAAGUACAUAACUAUGAUAAACUAAGAACAAUAUAAUCUUGAAUAUAAGCAAGUAGAGCAAAGUCAUAAGCAAUAUAUUGAAGUAGAACAAAGUCAUAUUCAUAAUAUUGAAGAACAAAGAUAAUUAGAAGAACAAUUAGAAGCACAAUUAGAGAAUUACCAAGAAUCCUCUUGACAGAUCCGGAAACCAACCAAAGAUUGACUCCUUCUAGUUCUAAUCCUAUGUAGCUAUGCUAAUCUAGAUAUCUAAUUGAUGUGGUGGCUCUAAUCUUGAUCAGAGGCUUCUUCUCCCUUGAAGAACAAUGAAUUAGGGUUGAGAGGCUCUCUCCUCCAGGGGCCAGGGGGUCUGGUUUUAUAGUCCCUUCAAGUGAAUAUGGGCCAUUGGAUCAAACCGACAUAGAUUGUAUGGUUUAGAUUCAUCCUUUAGGUCGGUGGAGGUCUCCCGCGAAGCAGAGUCCUGAUUGGACUCCUGGAGAGGGCGGGCGCCCUGACCAACUGGUCGGGCGCCCAGGGUCUGGCCCCGUUUCGCCUCCGCUUCGGUCUCGUGGCUUCUGGAGUCUUCUAGAUGUAAGAUAAUUGCGCGGCAUGUUAACAUCUCUAUGUAAUCCCGACGUGUGGGCCUUUCUUCCAUAUUUCCUGAUAACCCCCUGCAGAAAUAGACAAACACCAAAACUCCCCCAAGCUUACCUCUUGCUCGUCCCUGAGCGAGGAUAGACUCAGCUAUGGAUCAUAAGUUGUUGCAAUAUUUUUAAAAAUUUGACGGUACACAUGCUUUUAAAUAAGAUCUCUUCUCUGAGUUAGAGUAAACUGUCAAGACUUAAAACUUACUUACUUUACCUUCACCAUGGGACUUGUAACCGUCACUUCUAUCUUGAGUGGUUAAAAGAUAGAAUAGUCUAGUCAAGUGCCAUGUCUCUUAUUCUUGAUCAGCUAUAGCUCUAGGGUUUUUGCAGAUUUUCAAAUAAAACUCAGAGAUUCCUUGUAUGAUUCUCUCAGAUCUCUCUUUUGUGGUAUUUCUAGAUCCUUACCAAGGCAGUGAUGGUAUAUGCCUUCUCUCAAUAUAUGUGGUAUUUGUGGUAUAAAGCAUAGUGACAUUGCCUUCUCUCUCACCCUACUCUAAUAAGGCUUUAAUAUCUGGAGCUCAUAGAUGGGAGAUAAAGUAUACAUACUUACAAGACAUGUAUUGCAUAGUCAAACCAUGGAUCCAAAGAAACAAGCCAAUGAGUUUAAUCAAGAUGUGCAUGUGUGGCGAAUGAAUGAUGUAUGGUGAUGAUGGUGAUAACAAUGGUGGUGGAAGUCUAAUUCUACUUUGCUCUUUUGAGGGGAUACAUACCUUUCUUGUUUUUUUGAAACUUUAUGAGGAGAAUGAGAUGCUCUUCUUUUUCUUUUCUCUCAGGUGGGUAUCUUGCACCCCUAAUUCUACUGUCGGACACUUGUCCAUUUUUACCUCUCGUCUCACUCUCUUUUCUAUCGAGGUUCCGAGCACUUGCUCCUUUUUAUUUCCUCGUAUUUCUCUCUCUUUUUCUUUCCAGAGCAUUCAUCUCUUGAGAUAAUAUAGCAAGUGGUAGUAACAAGAUAACUUGUGCAUUUAUUUCACAAGGAAAAACAGAAAUAUUUUUGGCUAUUCUCUCCCGGAUUAGGAGUAGAAUAUUUUUGGGUGAUUCUGGAGAUGGAAUGGGUGGAUAUAUGUGGAUGGUACUUCCGGAAUAGAAGUAGCAUAUAUGAGUGAACGUGCAAGUGAAUCUUGAUUUAACCACAUGACAAAUUCCUAAGGGUCUACACAGCUUGACCACAAUCAAUGCUCAUAAGCAGUAAAUAGUAAAUGUGUGGCUCAAAGUCUAGCAAGCAUGUAUAUAUUGCUGUGGUAGGAAUUUAAACUCUCAUCAUACAGGAACUCAUCAUGCAACACUUUAAAGAUUUUUUAAAAGAUAAAAUUCUCCAGAAUUCUAGCAUCUCUAGGAACAGAUAAACAGCAGCUCAACCUUCCCAUAUCGUAUCCGUUAACAACUUAGACUUCAGAUCAAGUUUUCAUCCCACAAGUUUAGGUCUAGAGCAAGCUUUAAAUUAUAACAGUUAUAUCUAAACUUGAGAGAGAAUUUAAAAUGUGCAAAUUAGGCAGAGCAACUAUUCAUCAUUUCUAUGCUUAAGUUUUAUUUAGAUACAGAUUAGCAUAGCCACUUUAUUUAUUUAUUAAACACACUAAGCCAAAGACAUAUAUAUAAGCAUAAAAUAUUUAUUUGGUUUUUCAUAGUUUAUGUAUUUUAAUAUUCUAAUAUAGUAUAAGUAUAAAGAUAGAUAGAUAGAUAGAUAGAAAUACUUAUCGGGAUAAAUGGGGGUGCUCUCCCCCAAGCUGAAUUUUGACGUAAUUUCUCUUGAUGUAGCUAACAGGUGGCAGAGGUGUAUUUGAAAGUCAGCAGUAUUCUGAUAGCGAUUAGAAUGUCCUCCGUCUGCUAGUCUUCUUGAUUCUUAAAUUCUGUGGAGCUCAAAUUGACAACAAAGCUUGUGGAACUGAUUAAGUGUUAGCAUAAAUAUCUAGCCUUUAUCAUGUUGAGACUCCUUAAUAAUUAUUACUCCAUGUUUUUAUAUUUUUUUUUAUUUUAUAAAGCAGAAAAGAAAUAUUUAUUUUAUUUUUAUACCACCACAGUGAAUGUACUUAUGGGUUUUAUGCCACUCGCAUACUCACAUGGGGCUUACUGUUUUUCGCAUUUUUAUUUUCUUUUAUUUUUAAGAUAGUAUGAACAUGAUUAACUAAGUAAACUAGUUGAAAUAAUUGAAAGGGAAAGGAUAACUACCAAGUUUAUCUCUCGGCAAGGCGUUCGGUGUUUUCAAGUCCUCCGAACGGGACUCUCCAUUUUCUUAAUCGUCCUGAGGUUCGUUGGGUGGCGUAGUCGGUACUUCCGGUGGCGCCUCCUCUUCAUGUAUAGUUAUCUUCAUUUUCCACACCUGACUUGGUGCUUCAGUCUCCUCUGGAUAAUUCUGUUUAAACUCUACGUCUUCUGACCUUAUAACUUCUCCUUCAUAGUCUGCCCAUCCGUCCUUGAUGAUCUGCCUCCUCUGGUUGCGGUUGCGUCUUUUCCUUACCUGCUUAGAUUCUUCAAUGAUAUAGUUAGGGUCAGUAAAAUAACGGCGUACCUUCUCUGAGGGGAAGUGCAUAUGGACUUCUCCGGUUCCAAUGUAGAUAAUUGCUUUAACGGUGCUGAGGAACGGUCUUCCAAGGAUGAUGGGUGGAUCAUACUAAUCUUCUCCCAAGUCAAUAACUUGAAAGUCUGUGUAGACAAAGUGAUCGUCUAUUUUGACUGGGACAUCAGUUACUGUUCCUUUAACUUCUCGAAAUGUCUGAUCUGCCAUCUGGAGCUGAAUGUAUGUUGGUCUUAGGGGCAUGGUUUCGAAGAAGAGCCGAUAGGUGACUGCGGCCAUUAUGUUGACGCCCGAUCCGGUGUCACAAGUUGCCUUGUAGAAGUUGUAUCCAUUGAUGGAGCAAUAGAUGCUUGGCAUUCCUGGGUCGUCCUUCUUGGUCAAAAGCGGUGACUUAAGUUGGUGAUCUUGGCCUCCAUGAACUACAGUGACCAUCUUAGCUGACUCGGUCCACACUUGCUUGUUCCUGUUCCUCCUGUUGGUCCUCUUCCUUGAUUGACGUCUGGAUUGAUCUGGAAUUUGUGUAGUCUUGUUCUUGAAGAAAAAUGUCUCCUUCUUCCCUUUGACGUAGAAACUGAUCUUAGCAGCACUGGCGUAGAUGAUAGCUCCCGUGGUGUUCAAGAAUGGCCUCCCUAAGAUGAUAGGUGCUCUCUCAUCAUUUCCGGUCUCUACCACUACGAAGUCUGCUGGGGCAUAUAAGGUACCAACUCGGAUAAAAAGGUUCUUCACUAUUCCUUUUGGAAAAGUUAUCGUCUGAUCUGCAAACUGCAAACACAUGGUUGUUUCUAAUAAAGGAUAUGUAAAGAAUUUUUCAUAGAGUACCCUGGGUAUAAUGUUGACACUGGAGCCAAAGUCGCAGAGUGCUUCUGGAACGUCCACCAUGCCGAUAGAGAUCGGGAUGACGGGGCGUCCUGGAUCGCCUCUCUUGACCGGCAGAAGGUCAGUAGAAAAUUCAGUGGCGGGGUUACUCCAAUUACCUGCAUCAAACAUGUCUACAAGAUUUGCAGAUUCUAAUCCUUCCGGUUGUGAUGGUAUACCGGGGUUAGUAGUAGGAACAGCAGCAGCUAUUUGAUUUAACUGAGAUUCAAUCAUUUUAUUAAAGCUAAUUUGAUUCUUGAUGGCAGUAGAGAAAUUAUCCAUUCUAUUAUUUUUAUUUUCUAGCAUUUUAUCAUUAGAUGCCAAUUUCUUAGAUAAAUUAUCCGUUAGCUUUCCUUGAUUAGACACUAACUCUCUCAAAGGUGGAAAAUUAUUAGCAUUAUUGUUGUAAGAAUUAUUACCUUGAUAAUUACCUGAGUAGUUAGGCCUCUGUUGAUUCCAACCUUGAUUUUGUUGAGGACGGUUGUAGUAGUAGUUGUUGUUGUUGUUGAUGUAGUUCACAUCCUCAAGCAUCUCAGGGCAGUGGUUGCCUGAGUGUCCAGUGUCUCCACACUCCUCACAAGUCAUGUGAGAGUCGUAGAUGUGCAUAACUUCCUUCUUAUCUCCAGCUCUAUCAUCGAGCUUCUUCAUGAGCAGGUCUAGCUUUGCAGACAGCAUGUCUACCUCCUUGAGCUGAUGCAUACCUCCACCUCUCUUGCGUGUCUGGGUCCUCUCUUCAUUCCAGCUUUGGUUGGACGCCAUCUUCUCCACAAGAGCUGUGGCUUGUGGUAUUGUAAGUGAUAAGAAUGCUCCUCCAGCUGCAGCAUCCAUGGUCUCUCGGGCACUGUUGCCGAGCCCAUGAUAAAACAUCUGCAUCAAUAGCCAACUCUCCAUUCCAUGAUGGGGACAUUCUAGGAUGUAGUCUUGAAAGCGCUCCCAUGCUUCUGGAACAGAUUCAUCAUUUUGUUGCUGAAAACUUGUAAUCUUCCCACGGAGAGCAUUGGUCUUGCCCAUGGGAAAGAACUUAGCCAGAAAGUUUGUUGAGCAGAGUGCCCACGUAGUAUUCGUCUCCUUUGUAGCGUAAAACCACUGCUUCGCUCUUCCUAACAGUGAGAAUGGGAAGAGGCGAAGUAGUAUAGCAUCUUUGGAAACUCCUGAUACGGUGAAUGUGUUGCAAAUCUCCAGGAAGUGUUGUAAAUGAGCACUAGCAUCUUCGUGUGCCUUCCCACAGAACUGGUUGGAUUGCACCAUGUUGAUAAGUCCAGGCUUGAGCUCAAAGUUGCCAUCGAUCUCUGCAGCAGGUCCAGUGCGGAUGUUGUCCGUAGUGGGAGCUGAGAACUCGCGGAUUGAUUUGUUCGCCAUGGCUUCGAACUCUGAAGACAAGUUCCGGUAAUCUUCUUGAUUGGAUGAAGCUUCUUGCUGAAGUGUUGAUGAUCUCUUCUUGAGCUUGGCUCUCGUCUUCUUGAAUAAUGCUUCGGGAUUGUCAACAAAAUUUCCUGGAAGAUGUCUUCUAUUCAUACAUUCCCCUACAUAAGAUGAAAUAGGAAAAUAUAGGGGUAAAACUGUAUGAGAGAAUAGAUAAGCUCAAUCAUAUUAGUGAUGCGAAUGAUAACUCAAAAUCUUUUAUUCCAUUCCUGAUUAGUAAUCAACCUUCCCCGGCAACGGCGCCAAAAAUGCUUGUUGGGUUUUCUUAACAUCAUUACCAAAAGUAGACUAAGUUCUCUAAAUCUAGUAACGGUGCCAAAAAUGCCAAACCUAUCCCUCACACCACUUAAGCCAAGUUGUCAUCCCCAGCAUGAUAUAAGAGACGCGGUAUUGAAAUAUGCAAUUGCUCUUCUAAAUAAAUAAUGAAUGGGAUCUGCAAGCGCACAGAUUAAUACCGAUGUAGCAUUUUAACCGGGAAGUAUUCCAGGUAUCGUUAUUUAUAUUUUUACCACUGGGAAGGGAUUAGCAAUCAACAAUAUUGAUUACAGAAUAGAAUAUGAGAUUGAGCAUCUAUCAUUGCAUGUAUAAUUGAGAACAUUAUAUCUAACUCUUCAUACAGGGAUAAGUGUCACAUGAAAGAUAUAUGAAAUAAUAAUAGUGACAAGGAUAACUAAUCUAAUCUAGCCACAUAAUAAAUAUGAUAAGCACCUCAAUUAGAUACUCUAGAAAGUCAUUAGCAUGGUAUUAGAAUGAACUACAAGAAUAUUCCCUAAGUUAUUCUCAACUAUAUAGUCUAGCAUUAUCAUAGUUAGUGCAAGCAUACUUAGCAAUCAUUGUGAGACAAGACUACGCCCAUGCAUAGUGAUAUUAGCAAGGUAAAUGAGAAACAUAGCAAUCACUCCCCUGUAAUAAUGUUGCUCUGCCAGCCCAAUACACGAGAGGGGGACUAUAUAAGAAUCAAUGAAGCUGUCACUAUCACGAACCACCCAUUGGGUACAAUCGCAGAUAAAUACGGUAUAAGCACCACGCCUACACAAUAUCUAUCAUUUACCCAUGGAUCUGAUGGAUAAACGCUAUACGAUCCUAAGCAUGUAUAUAGAUCGAAUCUAACUAAGCCAAGUACAUAACUAUGAUAAACUAAGAACAAUAUAAUCUUGAAUAUAAGCAAGUAGAGCAAAGUCAUAAGCAAUAUAUUGAAGUAGAACAAAGUCAUAUUCAUAAUAUUGAAGAACAAAGAUAAUUAGAAGAACAAUUAGAAGCACAAUUAGAGAAUUACCAAGAAUCCUCUUGAAAGAUCCGGAAACCAAUCGAAGAUUGACUCCUUCUAGUUCUAAUCCUAUGUAGCUAUGCUAAUCUAGAUAUCUAAUUGAUGUGGUGGCUCUAAUCUUGAUCAGAGGCUUCUUCUCCCUUGAAGAACAAUGAAUUAGGGUUGAGAGGCUCUCUCCUCCAGGGGCCAGGGGGUCUGGUUUUAUAGUCCCUUCAAGUGAAUAUGGGCCAUUGGAUCAAACCGACAUAGAUUAUAUGGUUUAGAUUCAUCCUUUAGGUCGGUGGAGGUCUCCCGCGAAGCAGAGUCCUGAUUGGACUCCUGGAGAGGACGGGCGCCCCGACCAACUGGGCGGGCGCCCAGGGUCUGGCCCCGUUUCGCCUCCGCUUCGGUCUCGUGGCUUCUGGAGUCUUCUAGAUGUAAGAUAAUUGCGCGGCACGUUAACAUCUCUAUGUAAUCCCGACGUGUGGGCCUUUCUUCCGUAUUUCCUGAUAACCCCCUGCAGAAAUAGACAAACACCAAAACUCGUGGAAUUCUGUCAGAUAAAACCCUAAGUCUAGAUGUUGAUUUCAUUUGGAUCCUUUUCUUUGUUUAUUUAAUAAUUAAAUUUGAUACUUAAGGACCGUCAACAAACUCCCCCAAGCUUACCUCUUGCUCGUCCCUGAGCGAGGAUAGACUCAGCUAUGGAUCAUAAGUUGUUGCAAUAUUUUUAAAAAUUUGACGGUACACAUGCUUUUAAAUAAGAUCUCAUCUCUGAGUUAGAGUAAACUGUCAAGACUUAAAACUUACUUACUUUACCUUCACCAUGGGACUUGUAACCGUCACUUCUAUCUUGAGUGGUUAAAAGAUAGAACAGUCUAGUCAAGUGCCAUGUCUCUUAUUCUUGAUCAGCUAUAGCUCUGGGGUUUUUGCAGAUUUUCAAAUAAAACUCAGAGAUUCCUUGUAUGAUUCUCUCAGAUCUCUCUUUUGUGGUAUUUCUGGAUCCUUACCAAGGCAGUGAUGGUAUAUGCCUUCUCUCAAUAUAUGUGGUAUUUGUGGUAUAAAGCAUAGUGACAUUGCCUUCUCUCUCACCCUACUCUAAUAAGGCUUUAAUAUCUGGAGCUCAUAGGUGGGAGAUAAAGUAUACAUACUUACAAGACAUGUAUUGCAUAGUCAAACCAUGGAUCCAAAGAAACAAGCCAAUGACUUUAAUCAAGAUGUGCAUGUGUGGUGAAUGAAUGAUGUAUGGUGAUGAUGGUGAUAAUAAUGGUGGUGGAAGUCUAAUUCUACUUUGCUCUUUUGAGGGGAUACAUACCUUUCUUGCUUUUUUGAAACUUUAUGAGGAGAAUGAGAUGCUCUUCUUUUUCUUUUCUCUCAGGUGGGUAUCUUGCACCCCUAAUUCUACUGUCGGACACUUGUCUAUUUUUACCUCUCGUCUCACUCUCUUUUCUUUCGAGGUUCCGAGCAGUUGCUCCUUUUUAUUUCCUCGUAUUUCUCUCUCUCUUUUUUCAGAGCAUUCAUCUCUUGAGAUAAUAUAGCAAGUGGUAGUAACAAUAUAACUUGAGCAUUUAUUUUACAAGGAAAAACAGAAAUAUUUUUGGCUAUUCUCUCCAGGAUUAGGAGUAGAAAAUUUUUGGGUGAUUCUGGAGAUGGAAUGGGUGGAUAUAUGUGGAUGGUACUUCCGGAAUAGAAGUAGCAUAUAUGAGCGAACGUGCAAGUGAAUCUUGAUUUAACCACAUGACAAAUUCCUAAGGGUCUACACAGCUUGACCACACUCAAUGCUCAUAAGCAGUAAAUAGUAAAUGUGUGGCUCAAAGUCUAGCAAGCAUGUAUAUAUGGCUGUGGUAGGAAUUUAAACUCUCAUCAUACAGGAACUCAUCAUGCAACACUUUAAAGAUUUUUUAAAAGAUAAAAUUCUCCAGAAUUCUAGCAUCUCUAGGAACAGAUAAACAGCAGCUCAACCUUCCCAUAUCGUAUCCGUUAACAACUUAGACUUCAGAUCAAGUUUUCAUCCCACAAGUUUAGGUCUAGAGCAAGCUUUAAAUUAUAACAGUUAUAUCUAAACUUGAGAGAGAACUUAAAAUGUGCAAAUUAGGCAGAGCAACUAUUCAUCAUUUCCAUGCUUAAGUUUUAUUUAGAUACAGAUUAGCAUAGCCACUUUAUUUAUUUAUAAACACACUAAGCAAAAGACAUAUAUAUAAGCAUAAAAUAUUUAUUUGGUUUUUCAUAGUUUAUGUAUUUUAAUAUUCUAAUAUAGUAUAAGUAUAAAGAUAGAUAGAUAGAUAGAUAGAAAUACUUAUCGGGAUAAAUGGGGGUGCUCUCCCCCAAGUUGAAUUUUGACGUAAUUUCUCCUGAUGUAGCUAGCAGGUGGCAGAGGUGUAUUUGAAAGUCAGCAGUAUUCUGACAGCGAUUAGAAUGUCCUCCGUCUGCUAGUCUUCUUGAUUCUUAAAUUCUGUAGAGCUCAAAUUGACAACAAAGCUUGUGGAACUGAUUAAGUGUUAGCAUAAAUAUCUAGCCUUUAUCAUGUUGAGACUCCUUAAUAAUUAUUACUCCAUGUUUUUAUAUUUUUUUUUAUUUUAUAAAGCAGAAAAGAAAUAUUUAUUUUAUUUUUAUGCCACCACAGUGAAUGUACUUAUGGGUUUUAUGCCACUCGCAUACUCACAUGGGGCUUACUGUUUUUCGCAUUUUUAUUUUCUUUUAUUUUUAAGAUAGUACGAACAUGAUUAACUAAGUAAACUAGUUGAAAUAAUUGAAAGGGAAAGGAUAACUACCAAGUUUAUCUCUCGGCAAGGCGUUCGGUGUUUUUAAGUCCUCCGAACGGGACUCUCCAUUUUCUUAAUCGUCCUGAGGUUCGUUGGGUGGCGUAGUCGGUACUUCCGGUGGCGCCUCCUCUUCAUGUAUAGUUAUCUUCAUUUUCCACACCUGACUUGGUGCUUCAGUCUCCUCUGGAUAAUUCUGUUUAAACUCUACGUCUUCUGACCUUAUAACUUCUCCUUCAUAGUCUGCCCAUCCGUCCUUGAUGAUCUGCCUCCUCUGGUUGCGGUUGCGUCUUUUCCUUACCUGCUUAGAUUCUUCAAUGAUAUAGUUAGGGUCAGUAAAAUAACGGCGUACCUUCUCUGAGGGGAAGUGCAUAUGGACUUCUCCGGUUCCAAUGUAGAUAAUUGCUUUAACGGUGCUGAGGAACGGUCUUCCAAGGAUGAUGGGUGGAUCAUACUAAUCUUCUCCCAAGUCAAUAACUUGAAAGUCUGUGUAGACAAAGUGAUCGUCUAUUUUGACUGGGACAUCAGUUACUGUUCCUUUAACUUCUCGAAAUGUCUGAUCUGCCAUCUGGAGCUGAAUGUAUGUUGGUCUUAGGGGCAUGGUUUCGAAGAAGAGCCGAUAGGUGACUGCGGCCAUUAUGUUGACGCCCGAUCCGGUGUCACAAGUUGCCUUGUAGAAGUUGUAUCCAUUGAUGGAGCAAUAGAUGCUUGGCAUUCCUGGGUCGUCCUUCUUGGUCAAAAGCGGUGACUUAAGUUGGUGAUCUUGGCCUCCAUGAACUACAGUGACCAUCUUAGCUGACUCGGUCCACACUUGCUUGUUCCUGUUCCUCCUGUUGGUCCUCUUCCUUGAUUGACGUCUGGAUUGAUCUGGAAUUUGUGUAGUCUUGUUCUUGAAGAAAAAUGUCUCCUUCUUCCCUUUGACGUAGAAACUGAUCUUAGCAGCACUGGCGUAGAUGAUAGCUCCCGUGGUGUUCAAGAAUGGCCUCCCUAAGAUGAUAGGUGCUCUCUCAUCAUUUCCGGUCUCUACCACUACGAAGUCUGCUGGGGCAUAUAAGGUACCAACUCGGACACAAAGGUUCUUCACUAUUCCUUUUGGAAAAGUUAUCGUCUGAUCUGCAAACUGCAAACACAUGGUUGUUUCUAAUAAAGGAUAUGUAAAGAAUUUUUCAUAGAGUACCCUGGGUAUAAUGUUGACACUGGAGCCAAAGUCGCAGAGUGCUUCUGGAACGUCCACCAUGCCGAUAGAGAUCGGGAUGACGGGGCGUCCUGGAUCGCCUCUCUUGACCGGCAGAAGGUCAGUAGAAAAUUCAGUGGCGGGGUUACUCCAAUUACCUGCAUCAAACAUGUCUACAAGAUUUGCAGAUUCUAAUCCUUCCGGUUGUGAUGGUAUACCGGGGUUAGUAGUAGGAACAGCAGCAGCUAUUUGAUUUAACUGAGAUUCAAUCAUUUUAUUAAAGCUAAUUUGAUUCUUGAUGGCAGUAGAGAAAUUAUCCAUUCUAUUAUUUAUAUUUUCUAGCAUUUUAUCAUUAGAUGCCAAUUUCUUAGAUAGAUUAUCCGUUAGC
rnacentral:lncRNA from 1 species